GCCAGACUCCUACGGGAGGCAGCAGUGAGGAAUAUUGGUCAAUGGGCGCGAGCCUGAACCAGCCAAGUCGCGUGAGGGAAGACGGUCCUAUGGAUUGUAAACCUCUUUUGUCGGGGAGCAAAAGACGCCACGUGUGGCGUUCCGAGAGUACCCGAAGAAAAAGCAUCGGCUAACUCCGUGCCAGCAGCCGCGGUAAUACGUAGGGGGCGAGCGUUAUCCGGAUUUACUGGGUGUAAAGGGAGCGUAGACGGUUUUUCAAGUCUGAAGUGAAAGCCCGCGGCUCAACUGCGGAACGGCUUUGGAAACUGAGUAACUGGAGUGCUGGAGGGGCAGGCGGAAUUCCUGGUGUAGCGGUGAAAUGCGUAGAUAUCAGGAGGAACACCGGUGGCGAAGGCGGCCUGCUGGACAGUAACUGACGUUGAGGCUCGAAAGCGUGGGGAGCAAACAGGAUUAGAUACCCCGGUA
rnacentral:rRNA from 1 species